CAGAGAACUUGCCCCCUGGGGUAGAUCUCCCACCCUUUGUUUACUUUACCUUUGUUGCUUUGGCAGGCCCGUCACACGACCACUGGCUUAGGCUGGUCAGUGCCUGCCAGAGGACCCCCAACCCUUAAUUUUAUGUUGUCUGAAUACUACAAAAUAGUUA
rnacentral:misc_RNA from 1 species